rnacentral:tRNA from 1 species
GCCGGAGUGGCGAAAUGGCAGACGCAGCGCACUCAAAAUGCGCCGGGUAACACCAUGGGGGUUCGAAUCCCCCCUCCGGCA